UCUCCUGAAAAAGACAAAUGUUUUUAUUUGAGAUUAUUUUGAGAUUAUUUGAGAGUUGGUGCGAACUCACAAUUUGUUUAUAAAAUAAAACUAGGGACUUGCUCACUGAUUAGACAACUUAAAGAUUCUGAUAUAAUUAUUUUCAGAAAACAAAAUGGAUGAUAAAGAUGAAAAGGAGGUUAUUAGGGUAGCAGCGACAGUGGGAACCUCACCACUUUGGGUACCUGCAGCGGCUGCUGGUGGAAUAGUUUAUGGAGCAGGAAAAGGUCUGGACGAGGCUAACGACUUUGGGAAAAAGCAUGGACCAUUGGCUGGUAUUGCAGCAUCUCCCUUUAUAGUGGCUGGAAACAUACUGACUGGUCCAUUUAAAGGCAUAAAGAAAGUUGGCGAUGUGCUGAUAGGAAAGGAAGAAAAGGAAAAGUAAUUACGGCUGACUGACAUAAAAUAGAUUUGUGAAUUGGGUGUAAAUGUUUUUCAGCCGUUAUCUAUGUCAUAUAAAAAUAGUGAUUUAAAUUGAUUACGUUAUAUUUACCAGGCGCGUAGCUGCCUUUACGCAGAUACGCAACUGCGUAGUAAAAAUCUGGCAAGCACACACAAUUAAAUUGGCUAAUCUCUUUCGUUGCAAUAAGAAGUCUAUACCAUGCAACAAGCAAUCAUUGCUUACUUCGUAUUCUGUUUAAAGUAGAGUAAACUAAGGUUAUAGUCCUGUUCAAUAAGGUUGUUACUUCCCUUGCGUGAGUUGUCGUUAUUGAUAAAAACUACUUCCGGUGAGCAAAAAAUAUCAGAAAAUGGCGACGAUCAAUGGAAUCGAUGAACAAUGUGACUUUGACAAACAAUCAAUGCGUGAAUUUAGGGUUUAUUUAAGAGAUAGAGGUGCAUAUGUGUCAGGAAAUAGGCCGGAAUUAAUAAAACGUGCUAAAGGACUUGUUAAAUUAGGCACGAGGCCACUUCGUGAAAUGCAAACCCAGGACGAUCAGCGCUACAAAGUACAAUCAACGACUACCAGAACUUUUUUGUACUCCUCUUGGUGAGAAAAUACCGGAGCCCAAGACUUUAAAAGGUGUGAGGGGCAACAAUUUGUCUUGUUUACCAUUUUUCAGAACGCAGUAUUUGUAUAAUUACCUGAAACUUUUGACUCUGAAAACAUGAAUGCUGAAAGGCUGUUGAAAGUAAAAGUAUUCUACGAAGAUGGUCAUCUACACACAGUCAGAUAUCACAGAAUCACAGAUAAUUGUUCCCACUACUAUGUCAAAGCAAAUAUUAUGCCAUCGCUGCCAAAUGAUUCAAAGAAGAAAACGUAUUUUAGCAGAUUCUUCAUCCUAAAAUGGAACUUUCCUACAUACUGAUCAAGAAGAGCUAUUCCGCCUCUUUAUUAGUUGAAAUAUUUCGCCGAACAAAAUAUGACAUAUUAUUUUCCAUAUAUUUUUUUACAACUAGCUGACUUUUUUCGUGAAUUUGAGAGAAUUCUUGAAAUAAUGUUUAACUUUUUAAAAACAAAACCCAACAACUGCCAGAUUGGAGUAAUUUCAAUAUCAUUGAGAUGGCAUAAUGACUGAAGGGAAUUAGCUCAUGAUCAGUAUAUAAGCUUUCCUGCUCCGACUGUCAAAUAAUGGUCUGAAAAGGAGUAUAAAUUCAGCGAUUUUUGUCACUUUGGAAAAAGGUCCGGUACCGACUGAAUUCAUCGCGGCAUAUAAAGAAGGAAAACAAUCGCAGAAAUUAACGUUUCACUAUGAAAUAAAACUAUGUAUAAGUAACUUAAGGACAGUAGGUCUUUAGGUCAAAGUGAUAAAUGUGACUGUUUAAAUGAGGUUCAAACUAUCAUGAAAUUGAACACUGGUAAAUGAGUGCUUUAACCCGGUCUAUUUAGGGAACAUAGGUCUUCCUGCAUAUUAAUAAUUUUUUAAUCAUUUUCGACAAUUUCUUUGCUGAAUGGGGGUAAACAGUUGUUAUUUAAUGCUUUUCAAUGAAGUACAUCAAUGAAAUAAAAUCAAUAUUUUCACAGUUACAAAGUACUGAAAAUAUUUUAAUUUGUCAAUGGUACACUAAAGAAUACGAAUAAAUAAGCGAUAGGAAAUUCUAUGUAAAAGUACUUCAAUAUACAAAUACAAACAUGAACAUAAAGAUAUAUACACUCCCUCUUAAUCAAAUGUACCAGAAACAUGGAAACUUCAUCACAUCAUUUGACAAAGUACUGUCGUGAUGUCACAACAUUGUGAUGUCGUGACACAAUGCGCGCAUAACACUGCAUGGGUAAACAGAUAUUUAAUUUAAUCAAGGCCACUGACAUUAUAUACAAUAAAAGAAAACUUGUUUGUUUCAGUAUAAGAUAUGAAAAUAUUUCACUCGUGGACACCAUAAUUUACAUUGCUCUAUUGUGGCUGCCCAGUCGUAGAAAUAUUACAUAUGGUGUUCCAUUCUGUGAAAUAUAUUUCAAUCUUAAACUAAAACAAUCAAGUAUUCUCUGAAAGUCUGCAAUAGUUUUAAAUAUUAAAAUACUUAAGAGGAAUCAACACUCGCUUCACUUUUUAACAAUGUUUGGCAUUUGUUUCAACUUCUUUAAAAAUGGUCUUUGUCAAUAUCAGCUAUACAUGUAUUUAAUGAAAUUUUGUUGUCAUUCUGUGAUCUGUAACUUUAGUCUUUACUAUUUGUAUUAAAUUAUUCUUUUAGAUCAAGCAGCAGUGUCUGUAUAUUUAAAAAAUAAUUCAAAAAGAAUAAAAUCAGUGAGGCUUAGAAUUUCGUUUCAGAUCCUGCAUAAACUAGGAUAUCAGAACACUCAUGAUUUCAAUUAUUUAAUAAUGUAAUCAAAGUAACAGAAAUUCUCAUAUAAUUGAUAAUGCAAGAUCAGACCAAAUGGCAUGCUGUUUAUAUUUUUUAUCAAUCAUUAUAUAAACAUGAUAAAUAUUCAAUUUCUAUCAACAGAUUGUAAUCAGCAAUUUGUAACAUAUGCAAAUUCAGUAAAUCAUGUUUGCUCCCCAAUAUUUUGGAUGUAUGCUGAUCUUAUCUUUUGGCAUUGAAGAGUUCACAAGGGGAGUGAUAAAUCAGGGGAGAUAACAACCCUUAUUGAACAGGACUAUAGCGAACUCACCGGGACAAGCAGAAUGUGUUCGUUAAACAUAUAGCUAACAUAUUCCUUAUAAUUAUGCAUUAUUUGUACAGCAAACAGAUUUAUAUAAUUAGUUGAUUUAACGUGCGUUGAAAUUCACCAAUUGUCAAAAGUCGUUACUCAUUAAUCCAUUUCCAAUAAAAUGUUUAUUCAUCAUAAUCAUUCAUUUUGAAAGUGUUUGUAUCUUAACAAAGUCUGUAUUAACAAUCAAUAUCACGCCUAUAUAUACUAGGCUUUCGUCAACAAUACGCCGGACUUCGCUAUGAGUGCUAUCCAUAUAAUGCGGUUUACCAUAUUAGAUAAAAAUAAUAUUUCUCAUCAAUUUAUGAGAGAAAAUGUUUUUUUAUGCAAUACACCAUGUCACUCUGCAAGUAUUUUAGCUCUGGUUUAAAUUUCAUACAUGCAUUACGCCUCUACUAGCGUUACUGAUCGGCAUUACGCUUAGAUAGCUGUACAGGGCCGUACUUAGCUUUGAAUGCUACCUAGAUAAAAAAAGUCCAUAUAUAAAAUAAUAAAAACGAAAAUGUUUUAUAAGAAACAAAACAUGUCAUUGCGCAAGUAUUUAGCUCUAGUAGUAAAUUUAUUCAUACAUUUCGCCGCAUUUUGCUACAUUGCGCAUCAUCUUUCUACAUGACUCUACAUAACUGUAUUUUUUCUCACUGACACGUAAUGUUUGCAAGAUGCUCGCUGAACGGAAUCCCGCUUUUUAUAAAUUGGGAAACCCUUAUCAGAAAUCGUAGACAAAUGCUUUUAUUUUAGAUUUAUUAGAAAAACAACGAUUUUCAAAAGAAUUCGAUGAUGAAUACAUUGUUACAACAUCAAAUAUGCGACAUAAGGGAGAAGAUAGGAAAAGUUUGAUAUUCUAAGACCUUACACCAGGCUAUAGCAUUAUCAGCUGCGAUAUGAAAUUACGCUAUAUCUUUUUUAAGAAUAUAUCUUUAUAAACUAAGGUCUUAGAUAUGCUUUUGCCAAUUAUGCAAGUUUGCACGUGUACUCUGUUUAAGUCAUAUAUGAAGAAAUCUAUGGGGUCUUUUUGGGGGGAUGGGGGGAUAUUGAUGUAAUUAUUGCGCAUGUCAAGUUUCGUUUGCAAAAUAUUCAGCCGACAUAAUUUUAAAUAAUCGUUAAUAACAAGACCGACUACAGUAGCCGUUGCCCUGGUAACGCACACAGCUACAGUUUUAUGGUCCAUUUAAAAAAUGAGUUCUUCCUUACUCAUUUUUAACACAAGUAAAUGUUUACUUUUAAAAAGUAAGAGUAUAAGUUGGAGUACAAAACUAAAUAAAAAACAGUCCAGAAAGAGAAAUAUCUGUCUUAACUGUACAAAAUAUGCCAGACACCCCUAAUAUCAUAAAUUCUUAGUGCAGGCACCUGUCAAUGGCCAACCUUUUGUGACGAGCUUUUAAUUUGUACUUUAUUUGUAAAGUAUGUUGGCCUGUCUGAGAAUUAAUGAUCUUCUGGAUAAAUUUCAGGAUAAAAUAUCCCCAUUAGGUGGAAAACUGCUAAAAGCCUUUUGAUAAUUCCAUUUUCUCCUACUUCAAAUGCUUUUGAUAUCAUAUACAAAUACGACAUACUUAGUCUAGAUACUCACAAAAGAUUUGAAAGGGUUUAAGGUAAAAAGCUCGACACAAAAACGGUAGCUUUCAACACGGUUACGUGUUUAACGUUAACCUGUUUUCGCGCGAGUUAUCACGUCUAUUCCUUCCCUUUCUUGACAAUCCACAUCUGACAUAAUACUUUUCUUGUCACCUACCUUUAAGGUUUAGGAGUAUAUCUUCAAAACACAGAAAUAUUUAGUAAAGGAACACUAUCUUUACCAACAUUCUACCUGACCAUGACAUGUUCUGCCGUAUUCCCGUAAGAUGGCUACUUAAACAUUCUCAAACAUUUGUCACUCUUUAAAAAUGAAUUCCAUUUGUAAAGAAAUAAAAUUAAACAAUUGCUGAAAACUACAUUCAACCUAGUUAUUUGAAACUUCAGCACUGGGACAUUAUUGUAAAGGCACCGAAACAAAGACAUUUAACAGUUCUUUGAAAAUAGUGAGUUUUUAAAGGCGCUGAACCGUCCGAAAGUAUGGCCUAUUUUUGCAGCCUUUUUCCGGAAUUCAAUGUUUAUAUCAGUAAACUGACAGUGUUUGUAGAGUAAAGCGUUUGAACAACACCUCCUAAACUGCUGGCUUAAUUUUUAAACAAUUUCACACAGAUGUUUAUAGAUGUUCAAGUUAUUCUUAUAUUUCAAAACGCAGGAGUUUGAAACAGAUCUUCUUGUUAGAAACAGUAGUGCCUAUUAGCUAUUUAUUUUUUUUCUGAAUAUUGUAAAAUCUACAAAUAGUCUAUGUUAUAUUUGCCUGUGGAAUAUUAUUCUUUUAUUUGAGUACGUUUCUACCAGUAUUUUAUGAUCCCUCGCUUGCAGAGCAAGUGCCCUACCGACUGAGCUAACCGGCUAUCUGAUACUUUCCGACAUAAGAAUUGUAAAUAUCAAAAACAAAGGCUAUAUUAUUUUUAUUAUAUAGAUUUUUAAGCUUGCAAAAUGUUGUAAGUAAGCCUUUUGAUUGGCUAGCGGAAGGGUCGUCAGAACGAGGCUAUCAAUAGCUCGUCUUCAGAUCCUAAGCGUAGCAUAAUAGGAGAUGUACUUUAGUCAGAUUGGAACGAUAGCAGCCUAUUGUAUCUAUUGUCUUUUCAUUUAUAGAUCAACAGAAUAGAUAUGAAAUCAAGUCAUAAGAAAGUAGACGAAUCUUGUUAAAGGUUAUGUUAUUAAAUAUGUAUAAGCUAACAAAAAACACACAUAGUACAAAAAUACCCUUUUAUUCAUACAGUAUUGAAGGGACCCAGGGAACCAUUAUUCACUAAAUGUGCAACCAACUCCUAGUUGUGGUGUUUAGCUAAAAAGCUAAAAAGAUUCACUUGACAACUUUUUAGACACGGUGACAGUUUCAUUAUGAUUAAAUAUUUCUCUGUCUUAAAUAACAAGAUCUGAUACUGUAAUCAUUAUGGAAAUACAUAAUAUACUGAUCAAAUACCAAACAUCAAGACACAUCGUUAACAAAUUGAAAGAAAUAUAAUAUCAAAGUCAGGAACAAAACUAUUUUUUUAGAGUUCAUGUGGAAUGAAUGACAGAAUAUGUUUGGUAAAAUUAACCAUCAAUCCUUAGCACAUUUCAUGGAUUUUCUGGUCAUAAUCUUUCAUUCCUUUCACAUGAACGCCAAAACAAACACAUUUUGUAAGAAUACAUUUAUUUUUUCCAUACACUGAGCAGAUUUUUCAUGUUCUCAUUCCUACCCAUGAAAUUUAUGUUUAAAACAUUUCAUUUCAGAUAUAAGUAAGUAUUUCUGUUAUAUUCACUUCGGCUGCAUCUUAAUUUAUUUAGAUCGUCAUAUAAUAGAUUUUUUGUCAGAAUCGCAUUCAUCAUUAAACCAAGAUUAAUUUUUGUUCUCUUCGUCUGUUUUCCUGGGAACAAAUCUUUGAUUUACUGCUUAAAAUUCUCUUAAACAACGGGGAACUGACAUGGGCCAUUAUGCUAUUAAACUGAAACAAAUUAUGAUCGAUAUUUGAAUAGCCAGCGGUAUUAUCUGGAAUUUCUGCCAAAGCAUCAAGUGAUAGUUUUGCAUCAUCGCAAUCCAGUCUGUGUCAGUAAUCAUAAACUUGACUGGCAUAUCCGUUGUAAAACAAUUACAUUUAUCAGAUUAAGUUCACAAACUUCAUGCAUUUAAACUGAAUGAAAAUUUGAAGAUGAGCACGAGUUCGGUUUAUAACUGUGUCUUGAAAAGAGAAAGGACUACCUGUACGAAAAGUCACAGCUGUAAAAGACCUGUAUUUUUGUUCAAAACAACCGUCAUGCUUAUUCCAAAUUUACACCUGUAGAUUUUAUAUAACAAUAUUGAUUUUACAGCUGUAUAUUUCAAUUUGCAGCUGUCAUACGACUGUAAAACAGUUCGAAAUAUGCAAAUGAGGUACACCUGUAAAAAAAGUUACAGCUAUAAAAACGAAAAAUGUUACAGCUGUAAAAAUGCCCAAAAGUUACAGCUGUAGAAAUAUUAUAGGUAUUGAAAAAGAGGGCAUUAUUUUAAGGGACGAAAGAAGAGGUGCAAAAAGUUUUAGGAUGAAUUGCAAUUCUCUAGAUAAGGUAGCAAUUACUAUGAAAAUGGCAAAAUAAGGUUGUAUUGAGCAGAAAGUAAUUGGUCGAUGCAAUGUAUCAAUUAAUUCAACCGACUGAACAUUAGUAUUUAGAACAACCUGUCUUUAUAGACAUGCAUUAUUGAUAACAAUAGAUGUACCACUAGAGGACCUUUCAGUAUUAAGAUUAAUAAAGUGAUACAUUGAGUAUUUUUGAGUAUUUUUAAAGAUAUUUUGCCGGUUUCCUUUAAAAAUGUUUCACUAAAGCACAUAAUUGAAGGGUUAUAUUUUAAUAAGAUGAGGAGAAUUAAGUAAGCAAUAGCUUUAAGUCCACGGCAAUUCCACUGGAUAAUUUUACUUUUUAAUAUUUGUUUAACAAAAACGAAUGAACGACUGGAAAUUUGAAAAACAGUUAGUGCUGCAUUAACUCGGGAAGUAGGACCCUUUUAUUGUUUCUCCCCCAUCCCCAUCUUAUGACAUUAAUAGGUUUAUUCCUCUAAUUCAAACAACGUUUGUCAGUGAAUAUGUUAUAUUCUUGACAUUUUAUCAAAACCGACCUUUUAGAAGAUCAAACUAUUGUAUGUUUCCUAGAAAAAAUAAAAACAAUAUUAAACGUUUUACCAUGAUGUGUACUUGUGAAGAAGGUUAUAAAGUCAACUGCUUUUCACUGAAUUACAUUUAUGUGAUGUGUGGGAAUACAGACUUUCGACAGGAAAUUUUAAUUAUUAUUGGAACUAAUAUUAAGUUAAUUUUACAGACUUGUUUUUAUAUUGCUAUGAGGCUUUGUGCCGAACCUUUAUACGGGUACGAAGAACUACGUUAAAAUUAGCUCUUAUAUUUUUUAAAGAAUUGAAGUCAAGGCGUAACGUCAUACAUUCGGCUAACUAAGAGUAAAGCUUGCAUUCGGCAAACGGAAACGUAGAUCAAAUCAUAGGUAAAUUGCAACGCGUUGUUAAAUGAAACAAUUAUCAAAAUUAUCAAAGCAACUAUCUUCCAAAGAUUAAAUAUUGAAACGCGAAUUCCUGCAUAAAUACAGUUUACCUUAAAAAUAAAAACGUGGAACAAAUUAUCAAUUUGCCGUUUUAAUUCAACGUAUAUAUAGCAUGUGUAUAGAGGAAAAUCAAUAUAGACUUAUGGGUAUAUUUGUUCGUUUGGUAAAAUAGAAAAAAAAUAGAAACUUCACAGGUCGCACAAUACGACAAAAACGAAAAUGUUGCAGGCUAGGUUUGAUUGAGCCUGUUCAUGGACGGUAGUGGAAAUGCAUGCUGCCGUCCACGUCUUCUAGCCCCAAGUUGAGCAGAACUCAACAUUUACACAUGCUGAAAGUACAAAAAGCAAUUCAGAGACAUCCGCAGAUGUAUUCAAACGGCGGUGAACAUGGAACCUUCAAUGAUACACGGGUUGUGGCGUGUAAUUCCAUGAAAAGCGGCGUUUGGUCCCCAAAUAGAAUAAUGGGUUUGCCCCAAACGAGAAAACAACGGGCAGAACUAAACAAACUGGAAUUUAGAAAGGGGAUCUGAGGUUAUGGAGCCUGUAUAUCAUAGGAACUGUAAAAGACAAAAUUAAAAAGCAGGCACAAUAUCCAAGGGGUGAUUAUACAAUACCCAAGACAAUGAAAGCGGGAGUAUUGGAACUACCCAGGCCGAAAUGGUGAUGCUGAGAAACUAAACAGUACCAAUAACACGACAUAAACCACACUUUGCAGAGGAAAUCUCGACACCUGUUCUUAGUUCAGGGCGUAAUAUACGUCAGAAAAUUUUCUUGUAAGAUGUAGUGUACAGCUGGCUUGGCUGUUCCACCAUUAGCUCAAAAGAAGACUACCAAAGCUCGAAGCAGUGUAAAAUAGAACGUAAUCCAUGCAGCAGGUUCGCGUGCGUACGCACAUACAUUUAUUAUAUGUCUUAAGGCAUUUUGUAGCAAAGCACAUUAGUUCCUUUUCAUAUCACUUUUAUACGCCCGGAGGGGGCGUAUUAUUUUAUGACACCGGUGUCCACUUGUCCGUCCGUCCUUCCGUCCGUCCGUCCGUUCGUUAACAGUUUCGUGUCCGCUCUGUAAUUCUUGAACUCCUUAAAAGAUUACAAAGAAACUUGACAUAAAAGUCUACCACAUCAAAACGACGAGCAGAGCGCAUAUUCUGGAUGGCUCGCUUCAAGGUCAAGAUCAUAUGAAUUCGUUUCGUGUCCGCUCUGAAACUCUUGAACUGCUUGAUGGAUUUUAAAGAAACUGAGCACAAAUGAUCACCACAUCAAGACAACGUGCACAGCGUAUGUUUCGGAUCGAUCGCUUUAAGGUCAAGAUCACACUUAGGGGUCAAGGUCAUACCUUUGGGAGCAUAUUGCUCCGCAAUGCUGUGCUCUUGUUUGUUAGUAUUUUGACUAGAUUUUAGACGUAGAAAUUUUUCAGAUCCUACUUUUGUUUAUAUGAUUAGUUUUAGUAAUUGCAUAUCUGUGUAAUAUGCAAUCAUGCUAUUUAAAAUUACAUUCAAGUCUAUUAUCUUUAAUUACUUCUCUUACGAGGUACUUCAUCAUUGUUGUACAAAUACACAUUAUGUUUAUAAUGUCGGUCAAUAGAUAGACAUAACUAAUGUAGUUUAUGUAUACUUGAAAUAAACUUUGUAUUGUAUUAUACUGUCAGUAAAGGGAUGAAUGUAUUUAUUUACUAAAGCUAUCAAAGGACGGUAUUGGAAUUAAUAUAAUUGAAGAAAACAUUAAAAAAGGUCACAUUCAGAGAACGCAACCGCCCAUACAGCACACCACAUGAAUAUAUGUCUAUGUUCACUGUAUACAUGUACAGAGCGGCUGAACACAUGCACUCGCUAACAACAAUGAAUGCAAUAAUUAAUAGUACCGGAAACAAGAGACUUGCAGGUUUGCCUGGUUUGGCCAUUAUCAAGGCAUCUUGAGAUGCAGAGAGAUACUUCUUUUAUGGUUUAUCAUCAAAGAAGACCCAAGGUGCUCGUUUAGGUAUUAAUUCAGGUACGAAUAUGUAUGCGGAGAAAACAGUCGACUUUCUGCAGGUCUGCUGGAUAGCAUCCUCAAAUGAAAUACUUUGGUCUAGAACGCCGAGUGCGCUUUGAAUUUGACGAAAUAUUUGUAAUAUAAAUUCAGAAUUUUCUCAAUGAAGACUUUAUUGAUUCUAUCCAUCAGAUUCUUUAUAGAAGAUUAAUGCGUAAAACAUCAUAAAAACAAAAAAAGUAAAGAUAACAAAAAAUACAAUAACUGAGAUCGUAUUUUUCAGGAAUGACCUGCACAAAUCAUAUAAAUAUGUCAAAGUUUCUGGUGUGCAAAUUUGGCUUUACACUUGCAAUUAGUUUAUUUGUUCAAUACGACAGAGUAUACCAAUAACAAGCGCUGCAUCUGUGCUUACAAGGAAGGUUGAAGGUAUGUUAAUGUUUUUUACAAGCAUUCAUUUUGUAUAAAUUUUCUCUUAUACCGAUUGAAUAAGAAGAAAGAGUCAUGCAUGUUUCGUAAGGAAUGUUACAAUAAUAAACUUCAUUUAAAUCUGCUCUGCUUUUCUAGAUCUAUCUCAGCAGGAAUUUCAUCAAAACAGUACUGAAUUGCGAUUUUGCAGGUAGAUUUUGAAGAUUCUAUUACAGAUGUGCUGAUUAAUGAAUAAAUAAUGGCUUAGAUUCAGUAUUGUCAUAUUUCCUGGUCCUUUGGGAUCAUGGAAUCCAUUCAAUACAUGUGUAACAGAGUUCCGCUUAAGCCGGUGCUAGGUGUGUAAGGUGUGACACAAUCAAACCGAGUCUUCUAUUAUUUUGCUUGGUUGCAAUUUAAGCUUCCAAAGGAUCUUCUUACAGUUUUAUUAACUGUCACAACAGCAAUCUUUAAGUGACAUGUAAAAAGUCUCCCCGUACUUGCAUUCAGUGUUGUUAUAUUUUCUGGUCCUUUGGGAUCAUAGAGCCGAUUCAAUAUAUGUGUAAAAGAGUUCCAAUUAAGCCGGUGCUAGGGGGCGUGAGGGGGGUUGCACUUUCCAUUACCACUCAUGAACAGACUCAAUCAAUCAAACCGAGUCUGCUAUUAUUUUGUUUGGUUGCAUUUUAUGCUUCCAAAGGAUAAAUUAACAUAUUUUAUUGAAUGAAAUCAUUAAAAAUACACAAUACUGAAAGUUUUCAUAAAAAAAUAAUUCACCAUAAUACUUAUCGAGAAAUAUGAGAAAUAUGCACGAGUUCAGUCGCCAUAUUAUUCCGUGAAAGAUCGAGUGCAUAUUUAAGUAUGCAAAGAGGAUUUUAUUUCAUUUCAAAAUCAAAUCUUAAUUUCGAUAAUAAAUCUGCACGUACCAUAAUAUAACGGUAUCCCUGUUGAAGAAUAGUCUUGACUUCUGGUUAUGUUUUCAUCAUGAUUAAACGCUUUUACAGUUCUGCUAAAUUAAAUCCCAUUUUGGGUAACAUGUGGUAUAUCCCCAUUUAAACGAGAGACAUUUGCAAUACUAAAAACUAAUAGUAUCUCUCGUAUGAUAUUUUGAAGUGGUAAUAUCAUAAUGUACAGAAAGGUUAAAUCCAAAAAAGACACAAUAGUAUCAUAUCAAAAUUGUCAGCGUUCCUUUCAAAAUUAAAUAGCUGGAUUUCCUUGGAUGAAUAUCGAAGCAAAAUACAGAACAACCAUAUUAAGGACGUGAUAUACGUAUAAGGAUAUCAUCCAGGUAGACUGAUAUUUAUAGGGUAUUGCCUUUGUAUUUGGUAAUGCAGCGGAUAUAUUGCGAGACUUUUGGAGCGCAAUAUUUUUCCGCUAAAGAACGAGUGCAUAUUUCCCGAUGCAAAGAUAUAACCUUUUUAUUUUAUACGUGUACACACGUAUAUAUAUAUAAUGUAAAUAUUAAGAAUUUGUUCAAUAGCCUGAAUAAAAUUGACAAUACUGAACAAAAUAAAGGAGUUUAUGCAACGACAUACAUUAAAUUACGUCACGCACCCGAUAUGAAAUUCAGGCGUCAGUGUGUGGAAAAAUGUUGACGUUUCCGGUACCAUUGUAAUUUAACGGGGAAUAGAUACGAGUAUGUAAUAAAGCCCGACUGUGCAUCUGGAGAAAGUGUAGUCUUUAAGGUCAAUGCAAAGCAAGUGUACAACUCUCAUUUGGUAUUUUAAUUUCCUGUCGAACAAAAUGCUUCCAUAAAACCUGAAAAAUAUUCCUUAAUAAAUAGAGUGUUUUAUACAUAUUUUCAAAAUAUCUUCCUGACAGUACAGUUUUCAUAGACUUGAAAAUAUUAAAAUGUUAAGUUUAUUUUAAUGAUAAAAUUAUAUAUCUUUCAUAUACUUUGUCGCAUUCCACACGUGCUUUUAUAGUAUUAAGACAGAAAAUAACUGUUUACUUACUAAUUUCCAUUUAAAGAAACAUUCUUGUAUGUAUGAAGCAUACAACAUAUUUUGGACGUUUUGUCAUGAACUCAACUUCUUUGCAAAUAACCUUUGAAGUGUCUAGCCAUACUCGCAAUACGUUUUCUCGUAUUUGCAUAAAGGCAUUAUUCAGAUGCAAAGGAAAUAUGACCCUGUCUAACCAACAAACAAUGACUGCAUUCAAGUAAAAAUCACAAUUUGAGAUUAAAAAUUCUAAGUAUUAUAUACAUCCUUGUUGACAGCCAUCAAAUUUUGUGUGGCUUUUUUCUUCCAGAGCGCCAAUAUGAUGUUUAACCCUAAGACGUAAUUAUUGUGACAUGCAAACAGUGACAGCAUAAUAGCCAUACAGCUUAGGUUUCAUGUUUAUUGUUAAGCAACCCUGAUAUUGUUAGAAUUAUUUUAUUUUUUAACAUAUUGAAUCAGAGUCUCAAGCAAUGGGAUCUCAAAAUUGAUGUUAAAAUGCACAGAAAGCACCCAAGCAAAGUAAUAGUCGGCACGUUUCAAGACAGUUAAUAAGUGCAAGAUAACUUACAUAAAGUUCAGCAAUACAGUUAUAUAGAAUAAUAGAUUAAAUGAUAUAUAAUACUUAUUUUUUAAUCCAUCCAUUGUGAUAAUUUUAGUCUUUUAUAAUUCUAUAUCUAUGACUUGUGAUAAUCUAAGUCUUUCGUUUUUUUCUGUGAUAUGACAUCCCAAUUCAUACCAUAUUAUACUACACAAGGACCACAAUGGAAAUAAGAUAAAGAUGAUACCUGCCUACCUACCUGCCUGUCUACCAACCUAACUACCUACCUAUCUUCCCUAACCUACCCUACGCUACCCUACCCUACCCUACCCUCGACUUGCAGAUGUAUAGGAGAAAGCACAUGUGUUAAAUGGUAAUAUAUGCCAUAUCAUUUGGUUUUUAGUGGAAGAUAGUGAGCACUUCAUGUAUGCAUUUGAUUGUAAGUAUAUGCACAUUAUUGCAACUAUUAUGACAUGAUAAAUAUUUCCUUAACGCAUUUAUAUAUACACUACAUGUUUCCUGCAGCUGAUAUUUGGCUUCUAAUUUUCCCUCAGUCACACAUUAGAAAUUAUAUUUGAUAUAAAACAUUACAUCAUCAUCCAUAUACUUAAUUUUCCUAUCGGUUUGAUUGCCUUUCAUCCACACCAUCGUCUGAUGGGCAUUGGUGUUUAACGUCAUUGAAUUUGAAUCACUUGCCCGUUACUAAUGUGGGAUCGAAACUUCGCUUCGUUCAUGUGAUGAAGACCUUUAGCUAGUAUCGGAAGGUCUAUGGUUCUACCCAGGUGUCUGGAUAUGAAAUAAUAUCUGAUAGGGUACCUAGAGUCUCCCCACUUCCCCUACUACCAUAGAAAUCCAGAAAGUUGUAUUAUCAUGUUGUGGCGACGAUAAAACCAACACAACAAACAGAAACACCGUUUAUCAUAUCUAUGUGAGACCCACCGCACGUCAUACUUUCCCAUCUUAUUUGUUUGUGUUUCCUUUUGAGAACAAAAAAAAAUAUUUUAUGACCAUACCCAUUGCAGCUCAGUAAUGGUGUAUUGGUAUAUCAGACCGCUUUGAAACGCAUUAUGUGCAAGAAGGAAAACAAUGGAAAAUGACUUUUAUUGUUGGUCUUGAAACAUAUACAGUAGGCUACUUUACGGUUAAACAUAGUUGGUAUUUGACGGUCUAUAUAACUAAUGUUCUGUCAUGUCAAUAUGAAUAUGAUUUUAUCUUUCAAUUUCAGUUUACAGCCUUAAGAUCGUAUUGUUCUUAUUCAUGUAUUAGAGUAUAGCAGUGUAAUUUAAGACUGUGAGUUAUUAUGUUAGGCCAUAUCGAGGGUUGAGCACAAUACUGCCGUAACUCCGUUCUUUACUUAAUAGGAGUUACGGCAGUAUAGCGCUCAACACUCGAUAUAGCACAUUAUGCAAUUUCUAUAAACCAGUAGAUCAGGUUGUUCUUGUUCAAAGGCGAUAGCGUAGAUUAAAGAGAGUACAAAUUCCUUCGGUCCUUUUCAACGUAUAAUUCUAGUUCAUUUAGAAAAAUAUAAAAACUCUACAAGCUAGGAGAAUGUAUUGUUCUUGUAUAGUUGUUACGGCGUUAUAUUAAUUUUGUUAAUGUGUAGUAGAGUAUGACAAAUAACCAAUAUUAUGCGUUUUAGUAUUAGCCUAUUAGCCGUUAGACAAUACUUGCGGUUUGCGGUGUUUAAAUGUAUGAAUAUUUGGCUUCACACUUGCAACUUAGUUAAUUUAGUUUAUUUUUUUCAAUACGACUCGGCUUUGUCUACCAAUAACAAUCGCCACAUCUGUGCAGACAAGCAAAUUUGAAGAAAACAGAAUGGAUGAUAAAGAUGAAAAGGAGGUUAUUAGGACAGUAGCGACAGUGGGAACCUCACCACUUUGGGUACCUGCAGCGGCUGCUGGUGGACUAGUUUAUGGAGCAGGAAAAGGGCUGGACGAGGCUAACGAAUUUGGGAAAAAGCAUGGACCACUGGCUGGUAUUGCAGCAUCACCCUUUAUAGUGGCUGGAAACAUACUGACUGGUCCAUUUAAAGGCAUAAAGAAAGUUGGCGAUGUGAUGAUAGGGAAGGACAACUAAGUCUGGCUGACUGACAUAAGAUAGAUUUGUGAAUUGAGUGUGAAUGUUCUUCAGUUGUUAUCUAUGUCAUAUAAAAACUGUGAUUUAAAUUAAUUACUUUAUAUUUACCAGACGCACACACAAUUGAAUUGGCUAAUCUCUUUCGUUGCAAUAAGAAGUCUGUAUUUUAUCAUAAUCCUGAACAUGAGAAAUGUUACAAUCAUAAUCCGUCUAUGCUAACGGUUUAAAAAGGCAAACUUUUAUAAUAAAGUUAUAACACAAUGUCAAAAAUAUGAAACAGUGUUGGCCUUUAAGCCUAAAAUGUAAUACAAUUAUCAAUUAUUCCAUUUUCACGAUGUUGUUGAAAAUAAAAUCCAAUAUAAAUCAAAUAAUUACACCUAAUUAAAUCUUACGCAAUUAUCCGGGUAUGCAACCGGUACAAGCCGUACGAUAUUUGUGACAACCACUUCAGUGAGAUAAAUAUCUUCUUUCUUUAUUAUUGGUGAUUACAUAUUUUUCAAUGGCCUUAUAGGUAACUAAAUUAUAUGUAUUAUAUUUCAGAAGACCUUAAAGCGGAAUAAUGCGCCUUUUCCAAGUAAAAAUCCAGCUGAAAUAGAUGUGUGUGUAAAAAGGGUCGAGAAAGUUAUAGCUUUAAACCCAAUAGACCAAACUCUUCCUGUUACCAGUACGAAAUAAUACGUUUCCAAAUAUGACGACUUUUCUCAUUUUGACUAGGGCAAUCUUUUUAAGAAAAGUGAAACUGCACACAGGAGUUGCUUCCCUUCAACUUCAGAAAUCUCUACCUGUAGGUAAGGGAGAUCACUGCGUAGAAGAUUGAAGAAAAGAACUAUUAUUUUACUAGUCCGAUUUCUUUAUUACUAAAGCAUCAACUUCAAAUACUUAUGCGGCAUUAUCGUUAAUUUAACACAUUUAAAUGCACAGCAACCGAAUUUUGCUUUUAUAAAACAUUCACCAUAACACACUGUGUGCAGUAAGAUGUGCAUAAUGCUACUUUAAACUAUAUUCUUAAAAAUUAUCAGAUCAAGACUUUAGUGUAUACUUGGUUUUAGAUGUCGUUGAGAUAUAUCGACAAUCGCGCUUUGUUUUAAAUAUUUGUUUUAUGAUUCAAUAUGUUAGUACAAUGUCUACCCAAUGCUUAUGUUAAAGCCUUGUAUAAAACUUCUGAAAAUGUCUUUUUUUGGUACCCUAUAACCUAAUAUAUGUUAUUGCAAUGCAUAUUUUAACAUUGGGACAUGGAAAUAUGUACCUUAUAUCCGAUAAUUUCUAUAACCAUGUGUGCUAUAACCAUUUUGUUUUACAUAGAUCAAAGAAGGGUUAAAAUAUGGACAUUUUAAAGCGACUAACCCACACAUUGUGAUUUGUGAUAUUUUAAAAUAAAUUUCACCGAAAGGCAAAAUGCCGCCACAGUUUUAUAUAUUUACAUGUAACUUAAUGGUUGUUUUGAGAAUUACGGGAACAUUCGACUUUUCGAAGUUUUUCUUCUGCACUUUUAUAAACGGUUACAAUGCUUUGUAACUGUAAACAUUGAUAAAUAAAGAACGAGAAGCGACAGUAUAUUCAUCACGUGGGCAGCGAACUAAAACUGCGCAUGGCAAAAUGUGGCGUAAUGAGGCGUAAUGCUGUAUAAUGUAUGGGGAAAUUUGGCAAAAUAUAUUUAUAUCUUAAAUAUUUUUACUAUAUAAAUAUUUAUUUAUAAUGGAAGGAAAAAGAUUAUAUAGCACUAAAUGAUAUAUUUAUAGCCUAAAAAUCAGGCAUAGGUAUAUUCAAAACUAUUUCUGACUGCCCUCUUUAUUCUAGGCCCGUUAUUACCCUUUUUAGGUCAAUUUCUUUCUUCCAUACAUCAAUUUAAAUUCUAAACUCUAAACAUCAAUAAAUUUGCGUCAAUUCGAUAAAGGGAAUGUCAAUGUUUCUCUUAUAUUUAGACAUUUGUUUUUCUUACAUUUAUAUGAAUUCUUCACCUUUAUUUUUUUCAGUAGUAAUUAUAUUGUGAAAGAAUACAAAGACAUUCCAGAUUAAUAAAAAAAAUCAAUAUCAA